rnacentral:rRNA from 1 species
GCGGAAGGAUCAUUACUGUGAUUUACUACUACACUGCGUGAGCGGAACGAAAACAACAACACCUAAAAUGUGGAAUAUAGCAUAUAGUCGACAAGAGAAAUCUACGAAAAACAAACAAAACUUUCAACAACGGAUCUCUUGGUUCUCGCAUCGAUGAAGAGCGCAGCGAAAUGCGAUACCUAGUGUGAAUUGCAGCCAUCGUGAAUCAUCGAGUUCUUGAACGCACAUUGCGCCCCUCGGCAUUCCGGGGGGCAUGCCUGUUUGAGCGUCGUUUCCAUCUUGCGCGUGCGCAGAGUUGGGGGAGCGGAGCGGACGACGUGUAAAGAGCGUCGGAGCUGCGACUCGCCUGAAAGGGAGCGAAGCUGGCCGAGCGAACUAGACUUUUUUCAGGGACGCUUGGCGGCCGAGAGCGAGUGUUGCGAGACAACAAAAAGCUCGACCUCAAAUCAGGUAGGAAUACCCGCUGAACUUAAGCAUAU